rnacentral:rRNA from 1 species
UACGGGGGGGGCAAGCGUUGUUCGGAAUUACUGGGCGUAAAGGGCCCGUAGGCGGCCAACUAAGUCGGACGUGAAAUCCCCAGGCUCAACCUGGGAACUGCGUCCGAUACUGGAUGGCUUGAAUUCGGGAGAGGGAUGCAGAAUUCCAGGUGUAGCGGUGAAAUGCGUAGAUAUCUGGAGGAAUACCGGUGGCGAAGGCGCUCUACUGGGCCAUAACUGACACUGAGGGACGAAAGCUAGGGGAGCGAAAGGG